CCUAAUGCGGCGCGAUUCGCCCUUAGGGUUUGAUUCUGGCUCAGAACAAACGCUGGCGGCGUGCUUAACACAUGCAAGUCGAACGAGAACGGGUUAUAGCUUGCUAUAACUGUCAGCUAAGUGGCGCACGGGUGAGUAAUAUAUAGGUAAUGUGCCUUGAAGAUGGGGAUAAUUGUUGGAAACGACUUGUAAUACCCGAUAUGCCUUUAAUACAUAAGUAUGCAAGGGAAAUAUUUAUAGCUUCAAGAUCGGCCUGUACGGUAUCAGCUUGUUGGUGAGGUAAUGGCUCACCAAGGCAAUGACGCCUAACUGGUUUGAGAGGGUGAUCAGUCACACUGGAACUGAGACACGGUCCAGACUCCUACGGGAGGCAGCAGUGGGGAAUAUUGCACAAUGGACGAAAGUCUGAUGCAGCAACGCCGCGUGGAGGAUGACACAUUUCGGUGCGUAAACUCCUUUUAUAUGAGAAGAAAAUGACGGUAUCAUAUGAAUAAGCGCCGGCUAACUCCGUGCCAGCAGCCGCGGUAAUACGGAGGGCGCAAGCGUUACUCGGAAUCACUGGGCGUAAAGAGCGUGUAGGCGGAUAGAAAAGUUGGAAGUGAAAUCCUGUGGCUUAACCAUAGAACUGCUUCCAAAACUCUCUAUCUAGAAUAUGGGAGAGGUAGAUGGAAUUUCUGGUGUAGGGGUAAAAUCCGUAGAGAUCAGAAGGAAUACCGAUUGCGAAGGCGAUCUACUGGAACAUUAUUGACGCUGAGACGCGAAAGCGUGGGGAGCAAACAGGAUUAGAUACCCUGGUAGUCCACGCCCUAAACGAUGUACAUUAGUUGUUGCUAUGCUAGACAUAGCAGUAAUGCAGUUAACACAUUAAAUGUACCGCCUGGGGAGUACGGUCGCAAGAUUAAAACUCAAAGGAAUAGACGGGGACCCGCACAAGCGGUGGAGCAUGUGGUUUAAUUCGACGAUACGCGAAGAACCUUACCUGGGCCUUGACAUACCAAGAACCUAAUAGAGAUAUAAGGUGCUAGUUUACUAGAACUUGGAUACAGUGCUGCACGCUGCCGUCAGCUCGUGUCGUGAGAUGUAGUAGUCUGCACGAGCGCAACCCUCGUGUUUAGUUACUACAGAUUAUGCUGAGGACUCUAG
rnacentral:rRNA from 1 species